UUUUGGGGUCUCUGGCUCUCUGGGUUUUAGGGUCUCUGGGCUCUGGCUCUCCGGGUCUCUGGGCUCCAACUCUGCAGGAUUUGGGGUCUCUGGGCUCCGGCUGUGCAGAUUUUGGGGUCUCUGGGCUCCGGCUCUCUGGGUUUUGGGGUGCCUGGGCUCUGGGUUUCAGGGUUUUGGGGUCUCUGGGCUCCAGCUGUGCAGGUUUUGGGGUCUCUGUGCUCUGGCUCUCUGGUUUUGGGUUCUCUGUGCUCCGGUUCUGUAGGAUUUGGGGUCUCUAGGUUCUGGCUCUCUGGGUUUCAGGGUCUCUGGGCUCCAGCUCUCUGUUUUUGGGGUCUCCAGGCUCCGGCUGUGCAGGUUUUG